UACAGAGGGGGCAAGCGUUGUUCGGAAUUACUGGGCGUAAAGGGCGCGUAGGCGGCCUUCUAAGUCGGACGUGAAAUCCCCGGGCUCAACCCGGGAACUGCGUCCGAUACUGGAAGGCUUGAGUCCGGGAGAGGGAUGCGGAAUUCCAGGUGUAGCGGUGAAAUGCGUAGAUAUCUGGAGGAACACCGGUGGCGAAGGCGGCAUCCUGGACCGGCAUUGACGCUGAGGAGCGAAAGCCAGGGGAGCAAACGGG
rnacentral:rRNA from 1 species